UCUUAAGAUUGAAAUGAUAAAAAUAGUUGAGGUUAGGUGCACUUUAAGGCGCUUUUACACUAUGCAAUUUGUCUCGCAAUUCUGUUGCAACAUAAGUUGCACAUCCCUCUUGCAACUAGUCUCACAAUGUUUAUACACUGAGUGGUUUCCUAUUGACUUUUGACUGUCAAUAUGGCGCCAAACGUUAGCACUCACGGUUUUUAUACUAUUUUUAAUAAUGAUCAUUGCAAGUUGCAUGGAACAUAUUGCUUGGUGUAACAUCCCUUGCAAUGCAAUCCUAAAUCGUUUUUCUUAACAUUGCAAGUUCCGAGACAAGUUGCUUAGGGUAACAGCGCCUUUACUCCGAAUUCUAUAUGGUGAACAUAUACGUUAUAAACUAUGGAAACUACGAUUUAUAUAGGAACUAAAAAAGGUGAAAUAUUUUGUGGGAUACGAUAAAGGAGAGAGAUUGAAAAUGAGUAGGAAAGGCAAGUAGGCAACCCUGAAUACGUUUCGACCUAACAGUCUUCUUCCGCAGGGUUUUUUUUAAGGGGAGUGUAGGUAGAAUUUGCAGAGAAGGAAGGAGAGUUUAGGAGUUUGGAUAAUAAUGUGAGACCAAGAGAAAAACAAAUUAUUACGAAGUUAUUGAAAAUAACCAAAUACCCAGCAACAAAAAUGAAAAAUGGAAAGAUAGUGAAAAUGAUAUAACUACAUAAACUGCUACAUGUUAUUUGUUAAGUUAUCCUACCAAAGGUCUUGUUAUAGUGCAAGACAUUCCAAC